rnacentral:RNase_P_RNA from 2 species
GGUGCAGACGAUCGCCCGGGCGCGCGAGCGCCUGGGAGGAAAGUCCGGGCUCCACAGGGCAGGAUGCCGGGUAACGCCCGGUGAGGGAAACCUCGAGGAAAGUGCCACAGAAAACAAACCGCCCGUCGCUCGUCGGCGGGUAAGGGUGAAACGGUGGGGUAAGAGCCCACCGCGCGAUCGGCAACGGUCGUGGCAUGGCAAACCCCAUCCGGAGCAAGACCACGUAUAGGGGCGUUCGAGGGCUGCUCGCCCGAGCCCCAGGGUAGGUUGCUGGAGGCCCGCGGUAACGCGGGUCCUAGAGGAAUGAUCGUCAGCGACGGAAGGGCGACCGACCGUCGACACAGAACCCGGCUUACGCACCCUGC